GUCGGGAGUUAGGAAAUGCAAGGAUGUUAAUAGCGUCUUUGCUUGACUAAGGCUCCGGAGGAAGCCCCGGCUAACUUUGUGCCAGCAGCCGCGGUAAUACAGAGGCGGCCAGCGUUGUUUGGAAUUAUUGGGCGUAAAGAGCACGUAGGCGGCCGUGUAAGUCGGUUGUGAAAGCCUUCCGCUCAACGGGAGAACGGCAUCCGAUACUGCAUGGCUCGAGUGGGGGAGGGGAGAGUGGAACUUUUGG
rnacentral:rRNA from 1 species